rnacentral:tRNA from 1 species
CGCAGGCUGAGCGUUCGGCUGCUCGGUCGCCCCUCAUAAGGGCGAAGUGCCCGGUUCGACACCGGGGCCUGCGAC